AUGGCUUGUUCAUUGCCUUUGGUUUCCACCAUCUUUGUCUUUCUUCUUCUUGUGGCCACUGAGAUGGGCCCGAAUAUUGUGGCAGAGGCAAGGAUUUGUGAGUCACCAAGUCAAAAAUUCAAAGGAGUAUGCUUUAGUAACACCAACUGUGCUAGUGUGUGCCAAAUUGAGGGUUUUCCUGGAGGAAAAUGUAAAGGUUUGCGUCAGAGAUGUAUUUGCACUAAACCUUGUUAA